UGGGGAAUUUUGGACAAUGGGCGAAAGCCUGAUCCAGCAAUGCCGCGUGUGUGAAGAAGGCCUUCGGGUUGUAAAGCACUUUUGUCCGGAAAGAAAUCCUUGGCUCUAAUACAGUCGGGGGAUGACGGUACCGGAAGAAUAAGCACCGGCUAACUACGUGCCAGCAGCCGCGGUAAUACGUAGGGUGCAAGCGUUAAUCGGAAUUACUGGGCGUAAAGCGUGCGCAGGCGGUUUGCUAAGACCGAUGUGAAAUCCCCGGGCUCAACCUGGGAACUGCAUUGGUGACUGGCAGGCUAGAGUAUGGCAGAGGGGGGUAGAAUUCCACGUGUAGCAGUGAAAUGCGUAGAGAUAUGGAGGAAUACCGAUGGCGAAGGCAGCCCCCUGGGCCAAUACUGACGCUCAUGCACGAAAGCGUGGGGAGCAAACAGGAUUAGAUACCCUGGUAGUCCACGCCCUAAACGAUGUCAACUAGUUGUUGGGGAUUCAUUUCCUUAGUAACGUAGCUAACGCGUGAAGUUGACCGCCUGGGGAGUACGGUCGCAAGAUUAAAACUCAAAGGAAUUGACGGGGUCAUAGCUGUUUCCU
rnacentral:rRNA from 1 species